rnacentral:misc_RNA from 1 species
CGAAAUGCUAUAAGUAAUGUGAAUUGCAGAAUUCAGUGAAUCAUCGAAUCUUUGAACGCACCUUGCGCUCCUUGGUAUUCCUUGGAGCAUGCCUGUUUGAGUAUCAUGAAAUCUUCAAAGUAAAUCUUUUGUUAACUCAAUUGGUUUCUACUUUGGUAUUGGAGGUCUUUGCAGCUUCACACCUGCUCCUCUUUGUUCAUUAGCUGGAUCUCAGUGUUAUGCUUGGUUCCACUCGGCGUGAUAAGUUAUCUAUCGCUGAGGACACUGUAAAAGGUGGCCAAGGUAAAUGCAGAUGAACCGCUUCUAAUAGUCCAUUGACUUGGACAAUACUUUUAUGAUCUGAUCUCAAAUCAGGUAGGACUACCCGCUGAACUUAAGC